AUCAUCUCCUUCUAGCCUCUUCAUUGAUUGGUCCGAGCCCUUGCCCGGCCAAAGUCGGUUAUCCCGUGCUGCCUACCUAUCUCGAGGGAAUUUUCUUGGCUAAAAUGUUGCUUUUCCUUCGUGUGCCGCCCCCUCUCUGGGAAGCGGUGCGUGUCGGACCUCAAGGCAGUCGACGUGCGUCCCACCGAGUUCAUCCCGAUGGGUGUUUUCGGUGUCCGAUCCACGGCGCAACGCUUGAUAUCUCGGGUGCGGAACAUGUAGCUGGUUCGGGGCCCUCGGUCACCGCAACCGCAACUCAAAGCGUUCUACGCUUCUUGCGAACGACCGUCGGCCGAUCUCAUGCCUCGCUCUCGAAGUGCGGCUGGGGUCGUGCCGGCGUCGG
rnacentral:misc_RNA from 1 species